GGGGCCCAAGGCCAGCAGAGUGACCUGAGAUGACAGAACACAGGGCUUACGGAGCUGCCAGACAUUGAUACAAUUUAGGAGAGACACCCCCAUCCCUUUCUGGCUCCUGAAGAAAUGCAGGAAGAGAAAGAGAAACCAGGACUUCAGUUGUAGUGGAUACAAGUCUGGAAUGCAGAGCCAGACAGACCUGAGUUCAAGUCUCAACUCCAACCUGGUCUGGAGCAUGUGACAAAAGCCCUCGGAGCAUCAGUUUCCAAACCUGCGACGGAGGGUGACACGGCAUCUCACAGGGCUCCGGUGGAAGGGCAGUGAGGAAACUGCUGUAAAGUUGUGGCAGAUGUUCUUCUGUAUCUGCCAAGAGCCAUUGCCCUCCCCUCCCUUCUUAUAGCAGAGACCACUCCCCAUACAGAUGCUGCGGUUCCAAAGUUUCUUCAAUCACAGAAGGAGAAGCUGGGGAUGGGGCUGGGGAGACUGCUUUUCUGCCCCCGGCUCCUUGGGUGUGUGGAACUGGCUUGGUCCCCCUUAAUCCUGAGGGGUUCCCCUUAUGCUGACCAAGGCAGAGCAGAAAGAUGAAAGAGCCCGUGUCCAGGAAGACAUCACAGAUGCUGGACGUGGCCACCCAUGGAACUCUCAUCGUGGGAGCUAAAAAACCCCAGUUUCUUCGGUUAUAAAACGUAGGGUGGACUAGAUUAACCUUCUUUGUGCCAACCCCCAUUGCUGGUAGGGCUGCCUGAAGCAUCGUGUUGAGAGAAGUCCAGUGAUCUGCCACCCAUGCCUUCCAAUAACCUUGGCCUCCUCGAGGGGCUGGAGAACUCGGAUGAUGACAUCUGACACCUAUUAGUCAUCUUGGAAUCUCCUACAUGACAGUCAGCUCCACACGGAUGGGGACCUGCGUGCUUAGUUCCCUUCUGAGUCCUUAGUACCUAGCACAGGGAAAUGCAGAGGGCAUUCAGUGACUAGUGGUACAAACGAAUGAAUAAAUACACCGGAUGAUGUGUAAG
rnacentral:lncRNA from 1 species